UACAGAGGUCUCAAGCGUUGUUCGGAUUCAUUGGGCGUAAAGGGUGCGUAGGUGGCGCGCUAAGUCAGGUGUGAAAUUUCGGGGCUUAACUCCGAAACUGCAUUUGAUACUGGCGUGCUUGAGGACUGGAGAGGAGACUGGAAUUCACGGUGUAGCAGUGAAAUGCGUAGAUAUCGUGAGGAAGACCAGUGGCGAAGGCGGGUCUCUGGACAGUUCCUGACACUGAGGCAGCGAAGGCCAG
rnacentral:rRNA from 1 species